AUUGAACGCUGGCGGCAGGCCUAACACAUGCGAGUCGAGCGGAUGAAGGGAGCUUGCUCCUGGAUUCAGCGGCGGACGGGUGAGUAAUGCCUAGGAAUCUGCCUGGUAGUGGGGGAUAACGUCCGGAAACGGGCGCUAAUACCGCAUACGUCCUGAGGGAGAAAGUGGGGGAUCUUCGGACCUCACGCUAUCAGAUGAGCCUAGGUCGGAUUAGCUAGUUGGUGGGGUAAAGGCCUACCAAGGCGACGAUCCGUAACUGGUCUGAGAGGAUGAUCAGUCACACUGGAACUGAGACACGGUACAGACUCCUACGGGAGGCAGCAGUGGGGAAUAUUGGAAAAUGGGCGAAAGCCUGAUCCAGCCAUGCCGCGUGUGUGAAGAAGGUCUUCGGAUUGUAAAGCACUUUAAGUUGGGAGGAAGGGCAGUAAGUUAAUACCUUGCUGUUUUGACGUUACCAACAGAAUAAGCACCGGCUAACUUCGUG
rnacentral:rRNA from 1 species